GACGAACGCUGGCGGCAUGCCUAACACAUGCAAGUCGAACGAGACCUUCGGGUCUAGUGGCGCACGGGUGCGUAACGCGUGGGAACCUGCCCUUAGGUUCGGAAUACCUCCCCGAAAGGGGUGCUAAUACCGGAUAAUGUCUUCGGACCAAAGAUUUAUCGCCUUUGGAUGGGCCCGCGUUGGAUUAGCUAGUUGGUAGGGUAAAAGCCUACCAAGGCGACGAUCCAUAGCUGGUCUGAGAGGAUGAUCAGCCACACUGGGACUGAGACACGGCCCAGACUCCUACGGGAGGCAGCAGUGGGGAAUAUUGGACAAUGGGCGAAAGCCUGAUCCAGCAAUGCCGCGUGAGUGAUGAAGGCCUUAGGGUUGUAAAGCUCUUUUACCCGGGAUGAUAAUGACAGUACCGGGAGAAUAAGCUCCGGCUAACUCCGUG
rnacentral:rRNA from 1 species